rnacentral:rRNA from 1 species
ACUCAAAUGAAUUGACGGGGGCCCGCACAAGCGGUGGAGCAUGUGGUUUAAUUCGACGCAACGCGAAGAACCUUACCUGGGCUCGAACGGCUGGUAGUAGAAGUCCGGAAACGGACGACGAACCGUCAAGUCGGUUGCCAGUCGAGGUGCUGCAUGGUUGUCGUCAGCUCGUGUCGUGAGAUGUUGGGUUAAGUCCCGCAACGAGCGCAACCCCUAUCCCAUGUUGCUAGUGCCGCAAGGCACGCACUCUUGGGAGACUGCCUCGGAUAACGGGGAGGAAGGUGGGGACGACGUCAAAUCAUCAUGGCCCUUAUGUCCAGGGCUACACACGUGCUACAAUGGCCGGUACAGCAGGAUGCAAUCCCGCAAGGGGGAGCCAAUCCCUAAAACCGGCCCCAGUUCAGAUUGUGGGCUGCAACCCGCCCACAUGAAGCCGGAAUCGCUAGUAAUCGCAGAUCAGCAGGCUGCGGUGAAUACGUUCCCGGGCCUUGUACACACCGCCCGU